ensembl:lncRNA
GUGCUCACAUAGGGCUGAGACAAAUGUGUGUGUGCUAAAUUGCUUCAGUCAUGUCUGGCUCUUUGCAACCCUAUGGACUGUAGCCCACCAGGCUCCUCUGUCCAGGGGAUUCUCCAGAGCCAGAGGGUAGGACUGGACAAACUUCAAGACCCAGACCAGAUCCAUAGUGACCACGAUGGUUUCUCCUGAAGCAGCCCUGAAACCGAAGUCUCCUGGUGGCCAGAUGAUCAGCCUUCAAAACUGUGCAACGGUGAUUGGGCAUGAAUCCUGUAAGUGCCAAUAAUGUGUGAAGUCUGUGUUCAGUGCCCCAGGGCUGCAUUGUGCCUCGAAAGAGUCAGCCUGGAUUCGUGGCUUGAGGUGGAAGCCAAAGUGACUGCAGCCACUUAUACGAGGUGGACUGACCUGCUGCUCUGGUGCCCUUCCCUGGGCACCCAGCCCUGCUGGGUGGUCUCUGUCCUGACCCAGGACCUGUGAUUGACGUGAAGGGGUGGAAGCCAAAGAGCUGCGGACAAAUGGUUUGCCUUGGCCCCGCUUGCUCAGAGAGCAUGGAACACAUCUGGAGGGGGUCCUGCUGCUCUCCGUCUGCAGUCUUACCCUAAGGAUCUCAUGGAUGAAGGAAUCUGGAAGAAAACAUUUCUAAGGAGGAGAGGAGGAACCAGUGCCUUCUAGACCGAGAGGAGCAAAGAGGGUGAUUUUCUCCACUGGAGGAGUUCACUAAUUCAUCAGGAACCAGGAGCUGCCCAGUAGUCAGUCCUCUGCACUUUACAAAAUGCUUUUCUUGAGUUGUCUGUUCACACGUGUGCUUCUGCAAUGAGGAACUAUACACAAAGCUGUGGGCAAACAGAUGGAGGGGCUGAGUCAGUCUGGAGGGAUCAGCGAAGACUUCACAGAGGAGGUGACAUAUUGCUGUGUCUUAAAGCCUAAGAAGAAAGGAAGACAUGAUCCAGGCAGAGGGAACAGCAUGUACAGACGCAAGGAGGCAUUGCUAAUCAACCACAGCAUCAUCCUCAUGCUACAAUCGAAGAAACAGAAAGGGAUGGAAAUGUGGGCCCAGGACCCACCAAGUUAGGAAGCAAUGGAGCCAGGCCUGGUGUCCGCAACCAGACAGAUGCGACGAGCUUGAGGUUCAGACAAACACGGCAAGUAUAAGGAAAGCUCCCUCCGUGACAUCCCUGCUACCCUUUGGUGGACCCAGGCACCAAGGUUUCUUCUCUGCCGCACAGACGGCCAGGGCUCACUCCUAUUUUCUGUUGUUUUCAUUUUUGGACACCCCACCACCUUCUGUGAGGUUUCUGCAGGAAGCCUCUCUACACUGUGACCUCACAGGCAUCCAGAAGCCCCCAGGACAGUGGGACCAUUGUGGAGCAUAGUCCACAUCUAGGCAAGGAAACCUUGCCCAGUGGCCUUCUAGCAGGCUUGCAUCUCAUUGGCCAGAAUCAUCCGUCUAAGCCCAAAGGACCACCAUGAUUGGCUGAAAGCAAUCAGACCUGGCUCUUAGGGCGUGGCCUCUCCAAAAGCCUCUCGCAGAGGGCCCGAUAAUGGAAUUGAAGAAAUCUGAAUGAAUCGUCUGAUGUGUCAUGACUAAGCCUGCAAUGUGCCAAGUGUCCCCCAGGAGAGGCCCUUGGAUAGCAGACUGGAGCACCACAAUUACGCGUUGGAGACCAUUUCCAGAGAGAGCCACCGACGUCAGUGGCUCUGAGUUCUAGAAGCUCUUGGAGGGUUUGAGGAAUUGUCCCGUGGAUUUGUGGCACCAGGCUCUCAGCGUGAGACUGAGGGGUGGUGGUGCAGCUCGCUAGUCCAGCUCUGGUGGUGGAUGGAUCUCCCAGUGCAUGCAGCCUGCUUCACUUCUGGGCAGUUUUAAUUACUCUCUAGUUCUUUUACUGAUCCCAUCUUGACCUCCCAGAUCUGUGUCUUGCUCUUUGUUUAAGCUUCUGGAGCCUUGUAGGCUCAUUCUCAUUUCAUUUCCACUGACACUCAAGUGUGUUCAGGGAGCCCUUAAGCAUUUCUUGUUCUGCCUCCACUCCCCUUCUGCCUCCUUACCACAUCUAUUCUUCUCCAGGGAGAAUAUUCUCAAUUUUAUUGACUGUUCUUCUGGUGGUUUUAUGGGUAGGUGCCUUUAC